rfam:Octopus bimaculoides Scaffold49679_contig_11, whole genome shotgun sequence.
UAGCUAUAUUAAGUAGUGGUGCCGCAGGUAUUUUUUGCCAGAUUACCUGCAUGUCACUACUUAAUGCUA